AUGAACGCUAGCGACAGGCUUAACACAUGCAAGUCGAGGGGCAGCAUGGUAGGUAGCAAUACUUAUUGAUGGCGACCGGCGCACGGGUGAGUAACGCGUAUGCAACUUACCUAUCAGAGGGGGAUAGCCCGGCGAAAGUCGGAUUAAUACUCCAUAAAACAGGGGUCCCGCAUGGGACUAUUUGUUAAAGAUUCAUCGCUGAUAGAUAGGCAUGCGUUCCAUUAGGCAGUUGGCGGGGUAACGGCCCACCAAACCGACGAUGGAUAGGGGUUCUGAGAGGAAGGUCCCCCACAUUGGUACUGAGACACGGACCAAACUCCUACGGGAGGCAGCAGUGAGGAAUAUUGGUCAAUGGCCGAGAGGCUGAACCAGCCAAGUCGCGUGAAGGAUGAAGGAUCUAUGGUUUGUAAACUUCUUUUAUAGGGGAAUAAAGUGUGGGACGUGUCCUAUUUUGUAUGUACCCUAUGAAUAAGCAUCGGCUAACUCCGUGCCAGCAGCCGCGGUAAUACGGAGGAUGCGAGCGUUAUCCGGAUUUAUUGGGUUUAAAGGGUGCGUAGGUGGUAAUUUAAGUCAGCGGUGAAAGUUUGUGGCUCAACCAUAAAAUUGCCGUUGAAACUGGGUUACUUGAGUGUGUUUGAGGUAGGCGGAAUGCGUGGUGUAGCGGUGAAAUGCAUAGAUAUCACGCAGAACUCCAAUUGCGAAGGCAGCUUACUAAACCAUAACUGACACUGAAGCACGAAAGCGUGGGUAUCAAACAGGAUUAGAUACCCUGGUAGUCCACGCAGUAAACGAUGAUUACUAGGAGUUUGCGAUACACAGUAAGUUCUACAGCGAAAGCGUUAAGUAAUCCACCUGGGGAGUACGCCGGCAACGGUGAAACUCAAAGGAAUUGACGGGGGCCCGCACAAGCGGUGGAGCAUGUGGUUUAAUUCGAAGCAACGCGAAGAACCUUACCAGGUCUUGACAUCCAACUAACGAAGUAGAGAUACAUUAGGUGCCCUUCGGGGAAAGUUGAGACAGGUGGUGCAUGGUUGUCGUCAGCUCGUGCCGUGAGGUGUCGGCUUAAGUGCCAUAACGAGCGCAACCCUUAUCUUUAGUUACUAACAGGUCAUGCUGAGGACUCUAGAGAGACUGCCGUCGUAAGAUGUGAGGAAGGUGGGGAUGACGUCAAAUCAGCACGGCCCUUACAUCCGGGGCGACACACGUGUUACAAUGGCAUGGACAAAGGGCAGCUACCUGGCGACAGGAUGCUAAUCUCUAAACCAUGUCUCAGUUCGGAUCGGAGUCUGCAACUCGACUCCGUGAAGCUGGAUUCGCUAGUAAUCGCGCAUCAGCCAUGGCGCGGUGAAUACGUUCCCGGGCCUUGUACACACCGCCCGUCAAGCCAUGGGAGCCGGGGGUACCUGAAGUCCGUAACCGCAAGGAUCGGCCUAGGGUAAAACUGGUGACUGGGGCU
rnacentral:rRNA from 1 species